UUAAAGCUUCAUCCCUAUUUCUACUUCUGCCUGUGCUUGCAGACGCCUGCACAAACCCCUUAAAAUCCUUACGACCUCAGCCUUGCACCAAAGCAGAAGCAAUCUGUGUGCUUCCAGCACGUUGUAUAUCACUGUUUGGGGGCAUCUGAAGAUGUGGGUGACAUGAGAAUCUGGUCAGGGCAAACCUGUCUCUCUGCAAUGUCUCUUCCUGGCGUGGGAUGUGACUAGACAUGAAAUGUGACGUCGCUGAUGAGAGCUACAUCCUCGGAGAACAUGCACAACCUUAACAUGAGGAGCACCAGAGCACGAGAAGAAAUGCUACAUGACAAAGAUGACAUAAAAAUCACCAUGACCUUUUGGAGAAUGCCACUGGCCACCGCCGCUCACUCGAAUGCUUUAAAUGCCUACUUGUGAGGUCUGGUCAGCAUGGGGCGGCAGAAGAAAGAAUUCCAGCCAGCCGAACACAGCACGACAGAGGAAUAGCCUCAACUAGGACCACUGAAAACUAACCAAACGGAACACCUCUCAGAAACUCUCCCACCUCAUCACAAUUGAACAGGAAAGCCAAUACUACAGCCAACAAGGUCCAUGGAGAGAUCCCGUUGCAGGUUAUUGACAUUGAACCAACAGAAAAGUGAAUGGUUACCCUGGGGCAGAAGCUGGAAGUGCCCGGAGCAAGAAAACCAGAAAGUUCUUAGAAAAUAACCUGUCGACUCAAUUCUAGAGAAAUGGGAUGCUCAGCAGUCUCCUACAGUCUCUGGACAGAAUUUUGUAUAAGAUGCACGUUGAGAUGGAAAUCUGUAAACGGAGAUGAUGGAAAUGGAGCCACAUAGUCAAGGCAAGGACUGUCACCGGAUAGCGGGGUGGUGGGUAGAUCCUGAAAGGAAGCCUUUCUCAGAUAAAGGAACCAUAUUGUGACUUGUCUGUCAGGGUAUUUGUGGGUGUGUGGAAACAAAACCAGCCCUGGUAACUCAAAGAAGAUUGAGAACAAGAAUCAAUCUUGGUACUUUCUACAUGCCAGAUGCUUCUCAUUUAAUCCUAAAACUCGUUUAGGAAGGAGGUGUGCUUCUUCCUUCAUAUAGGAGCACAGGCUCAGCCAGCUGCUGAGUAGAAAACGUAGAUUUUUGGACUCUGGUUU